rnacentral:rRNA from 1 species
UACAGAGGGGGCGAGCGUUGUUCGGAAUUACUGGGCGUAAAGGGCGCGUAGGCGGCCUCUUAAGUCGAACGUGAAAUCCCCGGGCUCAACCCGGGAACUGCGUCCGAUGACUGGGGGGCUUGAAUCCGGGAGAGGGAUGUGGAAUUCCAGGUGUAGCGGUGAAAUGCGUAGAUAUCGGGAGGAACACCAGUGGCGAAAGGCGACUUCCUGGCCUGUUCUUGACGCUGAGGCGACGAAAGCUAGGGGAGCAAACGGG